UCUUGUUAAGACGGGGUUCAGGAAAAGACUAGGCCUGCUCGAGGAUUGACUGGCUGGGCGGGGGCGUGGGAAGGAGGAGUAACUGAGUUAAUUGCCUCUGGAAGAGAGAUAAGCAAGUUGGGGUUUAACGAGGUUAAAAUUAUGUCCUGAGGAUGUCGGGGAGCCCACGCACACGUGGUGGCUUCACUACUUGUGAAACUGGACGGUUUAGCCUAUCUGAGACUUAGUAUCCUCAUCUGUAAAAUAGGCUUAAAGCUUAAAGAUGUACUGAGGAUUAAAGGACCCAUAACAUAUGCCUGUGUCAGGCACUUAGGGCAUACUCAAUAAAUGUUCCUUUCUUGGAAGUUACAAGGAGUUCUUGGGCACACUUCCUGCCAGGAAAGUCCUGCAUAUAGAGCUAAACUAAAGAGAGAUGAGGUCUCAUUGGGCUGGGUAAAUGUUAAAAUCCACUGGGUUUUAUUCCUAGUCGUUUAUCCCUUUCCCUUCAUCCCUGGAUAGGUACUGAGAUGUCCUCUCCUCUGUUUCUCAGGAGUUGCAAGAUAGAGAAAACACUGUCUUGUUUCUGAAGCAUCAAAGUUGGGUGAGAUGACAUAGAACAAAGCCAAAAAUUAUGAAGAUACAUGACGUAAGUUCCAUAUGAGUGUUCUUCCAUCAGGGACUGUGGCACUAACAUUACUUCAGAGGCAUACUCCUAAGCUUAUUGUGGGCAAAAGGAAUAGGAUCCUCUUAACUGUACAAGAUUAGGAGUGGGCACCUGGCUUUGUUCUGACUGCUAAGACCCAAGGAGAAGUCUGCUGAAAACACUUCUGGGAAAGUUUUCCUUGUUCUUAAGAGAUAUAAAGAGACAUAAAGAUACAAUAGCAUCCAGUGGCACCGUCUCCACUGGAUGCUAUUGUAUCUGGCUGUGUGACCUGAGGUUAGAAUGACCAUCUUAAAACCAUGAGAGGAUCCAGCUUCAGGACCAAAACAGUAAACUGAUGAUGGCAGAGUGAAGAGACAGAAUGAACUGGGGUCUACGAUGUUGUCAAGUCAAUAAACCAAUCAGCUUUGGUGCUGUUCUCCUUCUGGAUUUCUUGUUAUAUGAGAUAAUAAAUAUCUGCAUUGUUGAGUCAAUUUGA